UACGUAGGGGGCUAGCGUUGUCCGGAAUCAUUGGGCGUAAAGAGCGUGUAGGCGGUCCGGUAAGUCCGCUGUGAAAGUCGGGGGCUCAACCCUCGAAUGCCGGUGGAUACUGUCGGGCUAGAGUACGGAAGAGGCGAGUGGAAUUCCUGGUGUAGCGGUGAAAUGCGCAGAUAUCAGGAAGAACACCUAUGGCGAAGGCAGCACUCUGGGACGGUACUGACGCUGAGACGCGAAAGCGUGGGGAGCGAUCCGG
rnacentral:rRNA from 1 species